rnacentral:rRNA from 1 species
AUACGUAGGUGGCGAGCGUUGUCCGGAAUUACUGGGCGUAAAGGGUGCGUAGGCGGUCCAUUAAGUCUGAUUUGAAAUACCAUGGCUUAACCAUGGGGGGCGAUUGGAAACUGGUGGACUUGAGCAUAGGAGAGGAAGGUGGAAUUCCAUGUGUAGCGGUGAAAUGCGUAGAGAUAUGGAGGAACACCAGUGGCGAAGGCGGCCUUCUGGCCUAUAGCUGACGCUGAGGCACGAAAGCGUGGGGAGCAAACAGGAUUAGAUACCCUGGUAGUCCACGCUGUAAACGAUGAGUACUAAGUGUCGGGGAGAAGUCCUCGGUGCUGAAGUAAACACAUUAAGUACUCCGCCUGGGGAGUACGGUCGCAAGACUGAA